GGGUCCUACGGGAGGCAGCAGUGGGGAAUAUUGCACAAUGGGGGAAACCCUGAUGCAGCGACGCCGCGUGAGCGAAGAAGUAUUUCGGUAUGUAAAGCUCUAUCAGCAGGGAAGAAAAAUGACGGUACCUGAGUAAGAAGCACCGGCUAAAUACGUGCCAGCAGCCGCGGUAAUACGGAGGAUGCGAGCGUUAUCCGGAUUUAUUGGGUUUAAAGGGUGCGCAGGCGGUCUGUUAAGUCAGCGGUCAAAGCCCGGGGCUCAACCCCGGCCCGCCGUUGAAACUGGCAGUCUCGAGUUGGAGAGAA
rnacentral:rRNA from 1 species